rnacentral:lncRNA from 1 species
GGAACUCGUCACAUCUCCUAGCUGCUAUCCUAAAAACGCAGCCAGAAAUCAUAAGCUGCAUGUCACCUCAGCCCAGAAAUUGUCACACCACUUUGUAUUUACUUUUUAAGAGAGGAACCUCAGGCAUCUCAGAUGUGGUACCCUCCAUACUGACAAUAAAUCAGUCAUUCUCUGUUAAAGGCACUGCUUUGUAUCAAAGAAAUUGCUAACAAUAUCAACUCCUUAGCUUUUAUUCCUUUGUUUUUCUCUCUUUUUUAGUUCUAAUCGCCAGUCUAAAGUCUCUGCCUGGAUUCCCUGCUCCAACCUGGCUGGAAAUUUCAGGUGCUGCUGAAACCACCCAGUUGUUUGUCCCAGUGAAUACAGGGCAUGUUCCUGGGACUACUGCAAAGAGCAAAACAGGGCAACGCUGUGGGCACACGGAGGAAGAAAAAUCCUGGAAAAAAUUAUGGCAACGAUCAAAUCCUCUGGUACUCAUUAAAAGGGCUGGAUCUCAUACAGUAUGGUCUGGGGGUUGCAGAGCUACACGGCAUUGUCCAUCACAGGAAUGGUCUCCUAACCAAUAGGUAAUGUAUCCAUGUGAAUUUCCAUAAGGAUGUAAAUCAUCAGGAUCAGAAAUUUUGAAGCAAAUAUCCCAAACAUUGCCACUUAUGGUAAAUCAGUGUGUGGAGUGGUGCCACAGCACAUGAGCUGGGGUGGCUUUUGGAGGACAUGUGACCAGAUGAUGUGCUCCAGCUCACCAAAAUGCAUGGGCCACUAAUGAGCACUCAGUAUCAGGACUAACUGCCCCUGAAAAUAUCCAGUAUAGACACCCGUUUCUCAGAUCUGCUCACUAGAGCUAAUGCAGAUGUAGCCACUAAAGCUUAUGCAGAUGUAGCCACUAACCAUGCUCUGCCCAUAAAUAUGCUCAGGCAGCAAUAACCAGCCCCCAGCUUGUGGUGAUGCAUUUCAUCUUUCUAAAGCAAGGUUAUUCCUGUCAAUAUCAAACCAGAAGAGACACUUAUCAUUUUAGGGACUUUCCACCAUUUAUCUUCCCAUCCUCCCCACAGGUGUACACUUGAUACAGUCACUUUUCUCCAGGGAAAGAACCCGAUUUCGUGGUGGACAGGAAUGCUGACCCACUUGCCUUCUGCUGCAAGCAUCCAUCAAACCCAGCCUCUGUGUCCCCUGGAGUCUUAAUUUUCCUCUUGACAGCAAAGAUAAAUGACUCCCCCAGGGCUAUUUGCUCAUGUCUACUGAAGGUUUACGUGAUGUUUCUUGAAGAUGACCUGUUUUUUAAACACAAUGAGUUUUCUUUCCACUACCACCUACCAGUGCGAAGGCAGAGAUAGAUUUGUUUUAAGAAAACCUUAUGGUGCCA